CUGGAGUGUUUAUAAGAGAGAAGAUAAUGUUACACACCAUGAAAUUACUAAAGUCGUAUACAAUUGUCAUUUUCAAAUCAACAUGAAUUACAUGGCUUGGAAAAACCAAGAGCUGUGGUUUUCUGAACAUAAGCCAUACAAAGACAAUCCUGCUUGGAGAGAUAAAAGUAAAUAUGUCGGUAGACGUGGAGCGUAAAGACUGGCAAUUCAAUUGACUGUCUUUCUGUGAAUGAACAUAAAAAAGUUUGUAGGAAUCAAGUAGGUUUCUGCUGUUUGCAACACGCUCAUUAGCGUAGCCUUUCACUACAAGUAUACAUGUCAUUGUUUGCUCAUUAUUAAGAUAAUCUGUGAAUAAAUUUUAAAGGGGUGAAA